UAAAAAAAGAAAAUUGCGGGAAAAGUCAAGUGCAAAAGUGUAAGUAUGAUGAUAGUUCUGAACAGGCAUAAAAAAUAGUAAAAUAUUUAUUUAUUUAAAUCCUGAAACGAAGUCGUUUAGGUAAGUGGAACCAUCAUCAUAAGCCUUCUGAAACGAUGUCGUUUUGGCUUCAUGUUUACCACACUGCAAAUCACAUAAACGCAAACCCUUGAUUUUUCUCUUCAAACCCUCAUUUCUACCCACAUGAUAACGACAACUUUGGACCCCAGAUCGUUCUUUGUUGAAGACAGUCGACUUCGACGGCGGUGACCUGCAGAUUUCCACGAUGGCGGGGGCUGACUUCGACACUGCGGCGGCCAACUUCUUCAUUCUUUAAUCCACAAACUUUUCGAAAUUUUGUGAUCCCAACGCAAAUGACAAAUUUUAUAAAAAUGCUCUAAUCAAACGACAUUCAAUUCUCUAGACUUUGACCCACUAAGCCACCACAUCAGAAGUUUUGUCGGUUCUUUGUCAUUUCUCCAAGGAUUUCGUGGAGUUUAAUUUGGAUGGAGAUUUAAAGAAUUUUGUUUGUUACUGAAAACCCUUUUACCCAAGAAGAACUCAAUGAGGAUGUGCGAGUUGAUGGGUGGAAUUGUCAAGCUUCAUUUGAUCAGAUUGUAUUUUGGUACAAC